rnacentral:tRNA from 1 species
AAUGAAGUGCCUGAGUUAAAGGAAUAUCUUGAUAGGGUAAAUAAUGUGAAAUCAUCACCUUCAUUA